rnacentral:rRNA from 1 species
AUGUACCUACGGGACGCAGCAGUAGGGAAUCUUCCGCAAUGGGCGAAAGCCUGAUGGAGCAACGCCGCGUGGGUGAAGAAGGUCUUCGGAUCGUAAAACCCUGUUGUUAGAGAAGAAAGUGCGUGAGAGUAACUGUUCACGUUUCGACGGUGUCUAACCAGAAAGCCACGGCUAACCACGUGCCAGCAGCCGCGGUAAUACGUAGGUGGCAAGUGUUAUCCGGAUUUAUUGGGCGUAAAGGGAACGCAGGCGGUCUUUUAAGUCUGAUGUGAAAGCCUUCGGCUUAACCGGAGUAGUGCAUUGGA